UGGGGAAUAUUGCACAAUGGGCGCAAGCCUGAUGCAGCCAUGCCGCGUGUAUGAAGAAGGCCUUCGGGUUGUAAAGUACUUUCAGCGAGGAGGAAGGCGUUGUGGUUAAUAACCGCAGCGAUUGACGUUACUCGCAGAAGAAGCACCGGCUAACUCCGUGCCAGCAGCCGCGGUAAUACGGAGGGUGCAAGCGUUAAUCGGAAUUACUGGGCGUAAAGCGCACGCAGGCGGUGUGUCAAGUCGGAUGUGAAAUCCCCGGGCUCAACCUGGGAACUGCAUCCGAAACUGGCAGGCUAGAGUCUUGUAGAGGGGGGUAGAAUUCCAGGUGUAGCGGUGAAAUGCGUAGAGAUCUGGAGGAAUACCGGUGGCGAAGGCGGCCCCCUGGACAAAGACUGACGCUCAGGUGCGAAAGCGUGGGGAGCAAACA
rnacentral:rRNA from 1 species